CCAGCCCGGCUCGGCAGCGCCCUCCGCUCCCACCGGCCCUGCCACGGCCCCGGCCCAGCCCGCGGGAGGCGACCGGGGGCGACCAGGAUGCCCCAGAAGCGCCGCUUUGUCCCACCAUGUCGGUCUCCAAGCUGCAGGACACGGAUGAGGUUUUUGAGACGCCGCGCCUGGACAGCAGCCUGCACAAAGCCCGGGCCCGCCUGCUGGCCAAGGGCCGCCGCCACCGGCCCUCCCGCUCCCGCC